UUGAAUUUAAUAUUUUUUGUUUCGUUUUAUAAUAAUUUAGAAAAACAAAUGGAGAAGAGGAAAUAGAAAUAAGUUAUGAUACGGUGACUCGCACUCUACAGCGAAAAAGACAACCCUUUCUUCCAAAAUCUCCAAUUACUUCCGAGGACGUGCGUGAUUAAAAGUACCAUGAACCAUUUUGGCAUGACAAAAGGAAAUUUUCCGAAAGUUUUUUUUAAGAAAUUAUAUGCAUCAAUUUCAUUUGCCUAUUGUGUAUUUGCGUCUGACAAGGUCAUCACUUUGAUGCAAGCCAAUAGUCAUUUUUUAAUAGAUGCUACAUUUAAAGUUUGCCCUUUCGGGAACUUUAAGCAACUGCUUCUUAUUUAUGUUAAACACAUACAAAAGAUAACACCGUUCCUAUUUGAUUUGAUGACUCGUAAAACAGAGCUCUGUUACCAACACCUAUUUACAUAUGUUGACUCAAAUAUUUGCUGUCUUAAUGGUGCAUCAUUUAUAUCGGAUUAUGAGAAGGCCAUGCGCAACGCUUUGAAAAAUUUGCAUCCAAAUAUGAAUUUCUUUGCUUACUGGUUCCAUUUUACCCAAGCAUGUAAAAAAAAUGCAAUCAAAACUAUUGGUUUGGAGAAAAUGCUUUCGUGCAAUAAACAUGCGUAUAUGCUGUUUAUGAAAUUUCUAUAUUUACCUCUUUUACCGGAAUGCAAGAUUGUUGAAGCAUUUAGUCUUCUUGAAGCUCAAGCCACAGCCUUAGAUAAGAUGUUUUCGCCCUUUUUAAAAUAUUUUAAGAAGCAGUGGCUUAAGAAGGUAAUUAUUUCCAGGGACUGAAGAGAACCGGUACCGGUACCGAAACCGGAACCGAAACCCUUUCCUUUUUACGGAUCCGGAAUCGAAACGAAACCGAAAUUUUAAUUUUCGAUGGAACCGGAACUGGAACCGGAACCGAUUAUUUGGCAUACUGUGGAACCGAAACCGGAACCGAAACCGAUAUUCUUUUUUUGAGAAUGAGUCUCGGAUUUUAAAUCAUAAAAUAUUUCAUUAUAGUACAGUUCUAACAGUGCUCGCAAUAGGGCAAUUGACGAACCAAUCAGAUUGCUUCUCACAAAUUACGUGAUAAGCUCAACAUCAAGUACUCAGAAACUCAGUUUAGUGUGCAACGCUCUUGGACGCAAUAGGAGUGUUUCACGUGAUGGGGCGUACACUACAAAACAAAGAUCAUGAGCAUUAUUUGUAUAAUGCGGUCCAGAAUAUAUCAACAUGCAAAAUAUGCCAAAUUUCCAUCAGAGUAAGUUUCAAAAAUUAUAAAUUCAAGUAGGAAGUAAAUUCAAAAUCGAUCACAAUUAAUUUCACGAAACCCUAUCGAAUGUUGUCGAAGCAAUAAUGCGCAUUACGAAAACAGAAGUGAGAUAACGACAAGUGAGAUAAUUUGUUUUGUUUGUAC